rnacentral:rRNA from 1 species
AUGAGCGGCGCCGACAAGGUUGUGUUGUUUGGGUCCUUCACGGAGGAUGAGACUAAGUUGUUCCAGGGGCAGCCUGCUAAAAGUGAGGAGAAAUCAUGGGAACUGCCUGAGAUCCAGUUUGGUUCACUGAAUUUUUCUGUGCUAAGUUUAGAGAAAGCAUCGAAUGCUAUCACUGAAGGCUCUGCUCAUUCUCCAAAGCCAACUUAUGGCCAUACAAAGGAUCACGCUGGCAGUAAUAAGAAGGAAACUGUAACAUCUACCUUACCAAAUGGUGGACCAGUGCUGUUCAAUGGAUUUCCUGCCGAAGUUUCUCCUAAUAAUGGUAUUCUCAAGAAUGUGAAGUCUGAAGCUUCGGUCCCUUCAGCUGGGCCUGUCAGCAAUUUAAAGGAGAACAAAGCAACGGUUGCUUUAGCUGGCCCUGUAAACAAUGUAAAGAAGACUGAAGCUCAAGUUCCUUCAGCUCGUCCUGUCAACGAUGUAAAGAAGAAUGAAGCUCUGGCUCUUUCACCUGGGCCGAUCAACAAUGUAAAGAAGGACGCUACAGUUCCUUCAGCUGGGCCUGUCAACAAUGUAAAGAAGGACGCUGCAGUUCCUUCAGCUGGGCCUGUCAACAAUGUAAAGAAGGCUAAAGCCACGGCUCCUUCAGCUGGGCCUGCCAACAAUGUGAAGAAGGCUGAAGCCACGCCCCCUUCAGCUCUGUCUGCCAACAAUGUGAAGAAGGCUGAACCUACAGUUCCUUCAGCUAGGCCUGUCAACAAUGUGAAGAAGGCUGAAGCUACGAUUCCUUCACCUGUGCCUGUCAACAAUGUGAAGAAGGCUGAAGCUACGGUUCCUUCACCCAGGCCUGUCAACAAUGUGAAGAAGGCUGAAGCUACGGUCCCUUCACCCAGGCCUGUCAACAAUGAGAAGAAGGCUGAAGCUACAGUUCCUUCACCUGGCCCUGCUAACACUGUAAAGAAGACUGAAUCUGUGGUUCCUUCAGUUGCGCCUAUCAAGAGCAUUAGCAGUUCAACACCAAUUGAAGGGCCAGGGCCGCACCAUGAUGGUCUCAGAUGUACAGAAAGCAGCAGUUCAGCUAUGUUAGUAACUGAGAAUGGAAGCACAGGUGCUGAUGCACCUAUUAUUGCAGCUCCAGCAGAUGAUUCCGUCACAAGUUUAAAUAAGGAAGACUAUCAGAAUAAGCCGUUGCUUCCUCAUGGUUUGAAGAAUACAGGAAAUAUAUGCUUCCUGAAUGCAACUUUGCAGGCUUUCCUUUCAUGCUUCCCUUUUGUUCAGCUUGUACAAGGCCUGAGGAACCGGAGUAUACCUAAGGCUGGCUACCCUACUCUGAGUGCAUUCAUUGAGCUCGUCUCUCAGUUUGAUGUACUUGACGAGUCUACUAUGAAAGACGAGAGGUUUGCUUUAGUCGCUGCAAAAAUAAUCAAUCCUACCAUGUUCGAUCAAGUUCUGAGAAAUUUUACUCCAGAUGUACCGGCUGGAACAUCUGCUCGGCCAAGACAAGAAGAUGCCCAAGAGUUCCUAAGUUUUGCCAUGGAUAGAAUGCAUGAUGAACUGUUGAGGCUUAAUGGCAAUGGUUCAAAUUCAAAGGAAGGUAUGGUUGUUUCUUCUGAUGAUGACGAUGCCUGGGAGACUGUAGGUAGGAAGAACAAAUCUGCAAUCAUGAGGACACAGAGUUUUGUUCCCUCCGAUCUAAGUGCUAUUUUUGGAGGCAAGCUACAAAGUGUAGUGAAAGCUGCAGGUAACAAAGCAUCAGCAACCGUUCAGCCUUUCCUGCUGCUCCAUCUUGAUAUAUUUCCAGAUGCUGUUCAAACGCUUGACGAUGCACUUCAUCUGUUUUCCACCCCUGAAUCUUUGGAAGGAUACAGAACAACUGCUGGAAAGGCCGGAGUGGUGACAGCUAGGAAAUCAUUCAAGAUACAUGAACUUUCAAAGAUAAUGAUACUGCACUUGAAGAGGUUCAGUUAUGGAAAUCGUGGGUGUACUAAACUGUACAAGCCACUCCACUUCCCUCUUGAACUGGUCCUCAAUCGGGAUCUGCUGAGCUCACCAUCAUCAGAGGGUAGAAGAUACGAGCUCGUUGCAACCAUCACUCAUCACGGGAGUGGCCCGUCCAGGGGCCAUUACACCGCUGAUGCAAAGCAUGACGGUGGGCAGUGGCUUCGGUUCGAUGACGGCCAUGUCAUGCCCAUCAACGUGAACAAGGUCUUGCAUAACCCAGCGUAUAUCCUGUUCUACAAGCAAGUUUAA